AGUGAACGCUGGCGGUAGGCCUAACACAUGCAAGUCGAACGGCAGCACAGUAAGAGCUUGCUCUUACGGGUGGCGAGUGGCGGACGGGUGAGGAAUACAUCGGAAUCUACUUUUUCGUGGGGGAUAACGUAGGGAAACUUACGCUAAUACCGCAUACGACCUAUGGGUGAAAGCAGGGGAUCUUCGGACCUUGCGCGAUUGAAUGAGCCGAUGGCGGAUUAGCUAGUUGGCGGGGUAAAGGCCCACCAAGGCGACGAUCCGUAGCUGGUCUGAGAGGAUGAUCAGCCACACUGGAACUGAGACACGGUCCAGACUCCUACGGGAGGCAGCAGUGGGGAAUAUUGGACAAUGGGCGCAAGCCUGAUCCAGCCAUACCGCGUGGGUGAAGAAGGCCUUCGGGUUGUAAAGCCCUUUUGUUGGGAAAGAAAAGCAGCAGGUUAAUACCCCGCUGUUCUGACGGUACCCAAAGAAUAAGCACCGGCUAACUUCGUG
rnacentral:rRNA from 1 species